GAUGAACGCUGGCGGCGUGCCUAACACAUGCAAGUCGAGCGGCAGCGCGGGGUGCUUGCACCCUGUCGGCGAGCGGCGGACGGCUGAGUAACGCGUGGGAACGUGCCCCAAAGUGAGGAAUAACUGCCCGAAAGGGUAUCUAAUACCGCAUAUUAUCUUCGGAUCAAAGGAUUUAUCCGCUUUGGGAGCGGCUCGCGUCGGAUUAGGUAGUUGGUGAGGUAAUGGCUCACCAAGCCGACGAUCCGUAGCUGGUCUGAGAGGAUGACCAGCCAGACUGGAACUGAGACCCGGUCCAGACUCCUACGGGAGGCAGCAGUGAGGAAUCUUCCACAAUGGGCGAAAGCCUGAUGGAGCAACGCCGCGUGCAGGACGAAGGCCUUCGGGUUGUAAACUGCUUUUAUAAGUGAGGAAUAUGACGGUAACUUAUGAAUAAGGAUCGGCUAACUACGUG
rnacentral:rRNA from 1 species